rnacentral:rRNA from 1 species
UACGUAGGGUGCAAGCGUUGUCCGGAAUUAUUGGGCGUAAAGAGCUCGUAGGCGGUUUGUCGCGUCUGCUGUGAAAUCUGGGGGCUCAACCCCCAGCCUGCAGUGGGUACGGGCAGACUAGAGUGCGGUAGGGGAGAUCGGAAUUCCUGGUGUAGCGGUGAAAUGCGCAGAUAUCAGGAGGAACACCGGUGGCGAAGGCGGAUCUCUGGGCCAUUACUGACGCUGAGGAGCGAAAGCGUGGGGAGCGAACAGG